rnacentral:rRNA from 1 species
CACGUAGGGGGCGAGCGUUGUCCGGAUUUAUUGGGCGUAAAGAGCUCGUAGGUGGCUUAGUAAGUCGGGUGUGAAACCUCCAGGCUCAACCUGGAGACGCCACCCGGAUACUGCUAUAGCUUGAGUCCGGUAGGGGAGCGUGGAAUUCCUGGUGUAGCGGUGAAAUGCGCAGAUAUCAGGAGGAACACCAGCGGCGAAGGCGGCGCUCUGGGCCGGUACUGACGCUGAGGAGCGAAAGCGUGGGGAGCGAACAGG